GAUGAACGCUGGCGGUAUGCCUUACACAUGCAAGUCGAACGGAAAUUAGCUUCGGUUAAUUUUAGUGGCGGACGGGUGAGUAACACGUGAGAAUUCGCCUUUAGGAGGGGAUAACGGAUGGAAACAUUCGCUAAAACCCCAUAUGCCCCUGGGUGAAACAGAGGAGAUAAGUAAUACUGACUCACCUCUGCCUGAAGAGAAGCUCGCGGCUGAUUAGCUAGUUGGUAGGGUAAAGGCCUACCAAGGCGACGAUCAGUAGCUGGUCUGAGAGGACGAUCAGCCACACUGGAACUGAGACACGGUCCAGACUCCUACGGGAGGCAGCAGUGAGGAAUUUUCUGCAAUGGGCGAAAGCCUGACAGAGCAAUACCGCGUGAGGGAUGAAGACUUACUGAGUUGUAAACCUCGGUACCUUAAGGAAGAAGAUCUGACGGUACUU
rnacentral:rRNA from 1 species